UACGGAGGGUGCAAGCGUUAAUCGGAAUUACUGGGCGUAAAGCGUGCGCAGGCGGUUUGUUAAGUCCGUUGUGAAAUCCCUGGGCUCAACCUGGGAAUGGCAGUGGAUACUGGACGGCUAGAAUGCGGUAGAGGGUAGUGGAAUUCCCGGUGUAGCAGUGAAAUGCGUAGAGAUCGGGAGGAACACCAGUGGCGAAGGCGGCUACCUGGACCAGCACUGACGCUGAGGCGCGAAAGCGUGGGGAGCAAACAGG
rnacentral:rRNA from 1 species